rnacentral:rRNA from 1 species
CCUACGGGAGGCAGCAGUGGGGAAUAUUGCACAAUGGGCGCAAGCCUGAUGCAGCCAUGCCGCGUGUGUGAAGAAGGCCUUCGGGUUGUAAAGCACUUUCAGCGGGGAGGAAGGCGUUAAGGUUAAUAACCUUGUCGAUUGACGUUACCCGCAGAAGAAGCACCGGCUAACUCCGUGCCAGCAGCCGCGGUAAUACGGAGGGUGCAAGCGUUAAUCGGAAUUACUGGGCGUAAAGCGCACGCAGGCGAUCUGUCAAGUCGGAUGUGAAAUCCCCGGGCUCAACCUGGGAACUGCAUUCGAAACUGGCAGGCUAGAGUCUUGUAGAGGGGGGUAGAAUUCCAGGUGUAGCGGUGAAAUGCGUAGAGAUCUGGAGGAAUACCGGUGGCGAAGGCGGCCCCCUGGACAAAGACUGACGCUCAGGUGCGAAAGCGUGGGGAGCAAACAGGAUUAGAUACCCGAGUAGUC